rnacentral:lncRNA from 1 species
AAGAUAGAAGAAAAAGAGGGAAGGAAGGGAGGGAAGGAGGGAGGGGAGGGGGAAGAGGAGAGGAGGAGGAGAGGGGAGAGGGAGCAGAGGGGAGGGGCGGAAGGAAGGGAAGGAAAUGAGGCUUGGAACCAGAGCCAUGGAACUCUGUUCUUGAUGGCGGCAUCUCCCUCAUCAAGUCGGGGCGUCCAUCUCCCUGCUGGCUAAGGAGGCUCCCACCCCAGUGGAGGGCAGGACUCACCUCUGGCUUCAGUGUCAGGAACAUGGUUGGCUGCGAGUAGACGGUGGGAAGAUGGAUAGAUAUUUGCUGGCCCAAUGAAGGAGUGGGGGUUGUGACUAAACACGAUGCCUGAUCCUCUUCUGGGGCUCCAGCUGGCACCCGGAGCUGAAGAGAAAGGCUUUAUGAUGAAACUUCCCUUCUGCCAAAAAUAACCAGUGCAAGCUGGGCAUGGUGGCACAAGUCUAUAGUCCCAACUACUCAGGAGGCUGAGGCAGGAGGACUGUUUAAGCCUGGGAGCUUGAAGCCAGUCUAGGCAACAUAGCAAGACUCUGUCUCUUUUCAAUUAAAAACUAUUGCAGCUUCCUCAAUCUUCCCCGGCAGCCUGGGGUGGGGCGCUCUGCUUUUCAGAGCUGCCUCCAGAACUUCAUCCUUCCUCCUUCCCUCCUCCACCCUCCUCUUCUUGUUUCCAUCACAGCCCCGCCACCCUCAAGCCACACCCCAUUGAUCAUUUGCUAAAGAUUUUAGUACCUGGCUCUGGCCUGCUUUCCACCGUCAACACUCACAUCAAGGCACCUGGAUCUCUUCUCCGCCGGCAAUCCUGCCUUCCG